UACGGGGGGAGCAAGCGUUGUUCGGAUUUACUGGGCGUAAAGGGCGCGUAGGCGGUCGUGACAAGUCACUUGUGAAAUCUCCGGGCUUAACUCGGAACGGUCAAGUGAUACUGUCGGACUAGAGUACAGAAGGGGCAACUGGAAUUCUCGGUGUAGCGGUGAAAUGCGUAGAUAUCGAGAGGAACACCUGCGGCGAAGGCGGGUUGCUGGGCUGAUACUGACGCUGAGGAGCGAAAGCCAGGGGAGCAAACGGG
rnacentral:rRNA from 1 species